UAGGUGGAAAGUGUCUAGCAUCUGGU
rnacentral:piRNA from 1 species